AUGGCUCAGGACGAACGCUGGCGGCGUGCCUAAUACAUGCAAGUCGAACGGCUUUUCUAUGGAAGCUUGCUUCCACUGAGAAGAUAGUGGGCGAACGGGUGAGUAACACGUGGGUAACCUGCCCAUAAGAGGGGGGAUAACAUCCGGAAACGGGUGCUAAUACCGCAUAGUUUUCUUGAUCGCAUGAUCGGGAAAGGAAAGACGGCCUUUGUGCUGUCGCUUAUGGAUGGACCCGCGGCGUAUUAGUUAGUUGGUGAGGUAACGGCUCACCAAGACGAUGAUACGUAGCCGACCUGAGAGGGUGAUCGGCCACAUUGGGACUGAGACACGGCCCAAACUCCUACGGGAGGCAGCAGUAGGGAAUCUUCCGCAAUGGACGAAAGUCUGACGGAGCAACGCCGCGUGAGUGAAGAAAAGGUUUUCGGAUCGUAAAACUCUGUUGUCAGAGAAGAACAAGUUGGAGAGUAACUGCUCCAGCCUUGACGGUAUCUGACCAGAAAGCCACGGCUAACUACGUGCCAGCCGCAGC
rnacentral:rRNA from 1 species